rnacentral:rRNA from 1 species
AACGAACGUUGGCGGCGUGGAUUAGGCAUGCAAGUCGGGGGAAUCCCAGCAAUGGGGGAACCGGCGUAAGGGGCAGUAAUGUGUGGGUACCUACCCUAGGGUUCGGGAUAGCCAUCAGAGAUGGUGGGUAAUACCGGAUGAUGUCGUGAGACCAAAGAUUUAUCGCCCCGGGAGGGGCCCACAUGAUAUUAGCUAGUUGGUGAGGUAACGGCUCACCAAGGCGAAGAUGUCUAGCGGGUGUGAGAGCACGACCCGCGCCACUCGCACUGAGACACUGGCGAGACACCUACGGGUGGCUGCAGUCGAGGAUCUUCGGCAAUGAGCGCAAGCUUGACCGAGCGACGCCGCGUGCGCGAUGAAGGCCUUCGGGUUGUAAAGCGCUUUAGUGGGGGAGAAAAGCCCGCAAGGGUGUGAUCUAUCCCAAAAAUAAGCACGGGCUAAGUUCGUGCCAGCCGCCGCGGUAACAC